UACGGGGGGGGCAAGCGUUGUUCGGAAUUACUGGGCGUAAAGGGCUCGUAGGCGGCCAACUAAGUCAGACGUGAAAUCCCUCGGCUUAACCGGGGAACUGCGUCUGAUACUGGAUGGCUAGAGUGUGGGAGAGGGAUGCGGAAUUCCAGGUGUAGCGGUGAAAUGCGUAGAUAUCUGGAGGAACACCGGUGGCGAAGGCGGC
rnacentral:rRNA from 1 species